rnacentral:rRNA from 1 species
GACGAACGCUGGCGGCGUGCUUAACACAUGCAAGUCGAACGGUGAAGCGCCUUCCUUUUUGGUGGGUGUGGAUGAGUGGCGAACGGGUGAGUAACACGUGAGUAACCUGCCCCCUUCUUCUGGAUAACCGCAUGAAAGUGUGGCUAAUACGGGAUAUUCUGGGUCUGUCGCAUGAUGGGUCUGGGAAAGAUAUUGUUUCGGUGGGGGAUGGGCUCGCGGCCUAUCAGCUUGUUGGUGGGGUGAUGGCCUACCAAGGCGGUGACGGGUAGCCGGCCUGAGAGGGUGGACGGUCACACUGGGACUGAGACACGGCCCGGACUGCUACGGGGGGCAGCAGUGUGGGAUAGUGCACAAUGGGGGCAAGCCUGAUGCAGCGACGCCGCGUGAGGGAUGGAGGCCUUCGGGUUGUGAACCUCUUUCGCUAGUGAAGCAGGCCUGCCUCGUUUGUGGGUGGGUUGACGGUAGCUGGAUAAGAAGCGCCGGCUAACUACGUG